GAUGAACGCUAGCGGCAGGCCUAAUACAUGCAAGCCGGACGGCAAGUUGAGUAGCAAUACUUGACCUAGAGUGGCGUAAGGGUGCGUAACACGUAUGCAAUCUGCCCACAGCCGGGAGAUAGCCCUCCGAAAGGAGGAUUAAUAUCCCAUAGGAAGAUGAGAUGGCAUCAUUUUAUUUUUAAACUACGGGGCUGUGGAUGAGCAUGCGGUUGAUUAGCUAGUUGGCGGGGUAAAGGCCCACCAAGGCGAUGAUCAAUAGGGGACCUGAGAGGGUGAUCCCCCACACUGGCACUGAGAUACGGGCCAGACUCCUACGGGAGGCAGCAGUAGGGAAUAUUGGGACAAUGGGGUGUAAGCCUGAUCCAGCCAUGCCGCGUGCAGGAAG
rnacentral:rRNA from 1 species